UCUGGCUCCUGUGCGCUCGCUCGCUUUCUUUUUUCCCAGCCCCAUCACUUAUUCAUGGAACAGGUUCAACUCCCAGCACUGAUGUCUGGAAACGACUCGUGGACACAGAAGUGACAGUGGGUGGUUUCGAGAGUGGCCAGCGUGGAUAAUAGCAGCCGGGCAAUGGAGCAGCAUAACAAAAAGGAGAGCCAGAACAAAGCCCGACAAUUACAGUAAGAAAGAAUUCAUCGCUGUGGGGCAAGGUGGACAGCACAGAGCCACGCUCAUCUUACACGGCUCUCACACAGACUGGCAAAAGGCAUCCAGCCCAUCAGGAGCCUCUGAGAGGAAACAGGAUGGGGAAUUCCAAACAAAGAGACAGGCAAACAACGAGUUGCUGGCCGCUCCAUUAUGGCCUUGUUUGCUCCUUGUAUGCAGGAUCAUCCAUACAAUAAAAGCGAAAUUAAAAGUUCUCAGAUGUGCGGCACUGUUGGCACAUGCUGCUAGCGUACGCAUAUUCUCUCCGCCCCCGGAUGGAUUGAAGAUACCACCUUCACUUGGGAGUGAAGGCCAGAGAGGAGAAAACGUGAGGGGAUGCCUUCUGCCUAUCGGGAAGCGGCGUGCAGGCAUCAGCAUCAGAGACCAGGUACAGUUGGGCUGUAACCUCUCCAGCCGACCCCUCGUGACAAGACAGAUAGCUCCAUUCAUCUGCAGCUGAGCAGUAGCGCGGUGCUGCAUUUUUCACCCCCGGCCCAGGAUGGAUCUGCUCGCCAGGAGGAAUGUCACCAGCCUGAAUGCCCUGAUCUUUCACAAGUCCACCAUCUUCUCCAGAAUCACAGCACCGCACACAGUUCGAGAGCAACGGAGAAGAGUUAGAGACGAGCAGUCAGACGAUGACCAUUUACCAGAGAACAACAGAUCAUACAAAGCAUAUAAACAACAAUCUGCUUUUACACAUUUUACACAUUUCUCAAACCUAAAACGAGAGAACUGCUUCCAAUCAGUGACAAUGAUAGUAAAACAUAUUGUUGAAAAUGACUUCGCAUGCUGAUGCUAUAGAGCUCCAGUGAAGGACAGUAAAGUGAUGGAGAAUUUAUCGAGGCUGGUGUUAUCCCGUACUCUGCGCAAUGGCUUCCAUAUUGAUCACUGUUUACAGAUAUAAUCACUUUCAGAUUCAUUCUUCAUCAGUAUGGCCUCCUGUAUUGAUUUGGUUUUACUCAUGUCUCUCCAUAAAGGCUCUGCAUGAGUGUUAAACCCAGGGAUAGAAUGUGUGUGUGGCUCACAUUUAUGUAUGUGUGUGUGUUCAUUCAGGUUGUAAUUCUGUUAUGCUUUAUGAGAUAUCACUCUUUGUUUCUUUGUGAGUGAACAGUGCAGCACAAAGGUCUCCUCUGCAGGAAAUAAUCCCACUUGAGAAGAUAAAAUGUGAUGGAAAAAACAAGCAAUAGUAAUGUUAAGUACAAAAUGAUAACAAUCAGAACAUACAACUGAAUUGAACUGAACUGAGAGAUGCUUAUAAUGCACAUAGAUAUACUGUUUGGAGAGAGAAGUGAGUUACUUAUACAUGAGUGUUGUCUCUCUCUCUUUUUUUGCCUUUCUUCUUUUAUAACUCCCUUUCUUUCAUAUAGGGUAUGAGCUGUCCUCACUAUACUAAGCUGACCUACAUCUAUAUCAACAUCUACACUACCUUUCAAAAGUAUGGAGUUAGUAAGAUAAAAAAAAAAAAAAAAGAAUUUAAUACCUUUUCAGUAAGGAUGCAUUAAUUAAUAAUUGAUCAAAAGUGACAGUAAAGAGUUUUGCAUUGUUACAAAAAUGUUCUAUUUUAAAUCAAAUGUAUUCUUUGAACUUUAUAAUCAUCAACUAUAUCAGUUCAACAGAUUUCUACACCAAUAAUAAUAAUAAUAAAAAGUUUUUGAGCACCAAAUCAGCACAUUAGAAUGAUUUCUGAAGGAUCAUGUGACACUGACGACUGGAGUAACGGCUGGUGAAAAUUCAGCUUUGCCAUCACAGGAAUAAAUUAAAUUUUAAAAUAUAUUAAAGCAGUACUUUAAAUUGUAAUAAUAUCCCAAAACAUUACUGCUUUCACUGUCCUUUGAUCAAAU
ensembl:lncRNA